rnacentral:tRNA from 1 species
GUCUUAAUAGUAUAACUAUUAUUAUGGUCUUGUAAACCAUAGAUGGAGAUACACUCUCCUUAAGACU